CACAAAAAUUGGUUAUGUUUGAACUUCAAGAAUUAAAGCUUUUUGAAAUUUUUAUGACUAAUAGUGUAACAUACUUUUCACAUUUGCUUAUGAAGAAGAGUAAAAUCUCUUUGUUGAUGGGGAUGCAUUUUGAGGAACACAAAAGUUAUGCCAUAUUGCUAUGGAUGCAAUCAUGAAGUAGAAGAUGUCUUUGCUACCAGGAUUGAAAAAUUAUUAUGGCAAAACAAGACACAAUGCAACAUCACCAAAACAUUCUUAACCCCUCAUGGAAACUAAAAAGAAUACGCGGAUCUAGUGGAAAGAUGUCUCCUCUGAAAGAGCACCCAAUGAAUGAAAUGAACUGCCACUUUCGUCCAAGAAGAGAAAAGCAACAACAACAACGACACACAAACAGGAAAACAUGGCUUGGCAAACGAGACAACAACAAAGAAGACAGCAGCAGCGGCAACAUGUAAAUCAGAAUGUUUUGAGUGGGAAUAUUCGAGAACAGGAAAGACAUCAGGAGAACCAACAGGCAAACCAGAGAAAUUUAGAAAUAUUAUGUGGCUGUGGAUUAGAUAAAGCAUUAUCAAGAUUUUGAGCCCGUUGGAUUAUCGUAUUUUCAUCAUACUUUUCAUACAGAAUUACAGAAAAAAGACUAAUUUUUAAAAAAGUUUAUUGGGUACUGUGUUUUAAUUCAGAAAGAUUCUACACAUCUUAAAGUAAAAAGUUUAAGAAAGUUAAUUGUUGACUACUGAAAAACGUUGAACAAAUACAUACAGAUAUUAUCACUAUUAACUGCCAGACUUUUCAAGAGCAUUAAGUAUUUACUUGAAGUCAUCUGAGAUUGUCAAGACUAAUCAAGAGCAUUUGA